AGACGCCAUCGCCGCGCUGCGGUGGUGCGCAUGUUGUUUACAUUGAUGUACAUCUACAUAUAUAUAGAUUGAAAGGCGUGAUUCCACUUGAUCUGCGGUCGUGGUGGGCUCUGUCGUGCAUUCCAUAGUGGCGCGGACGCCGUCUGCCUACCACACACACACACACACAGGCCACACCUGCGAGGGCUCACGCGCCCUCGUGACGUGCGUAAGCGCUCGCAGGUGCCGGUAAAGGAGACACUUCUAUUCUUUUUUUUUCGCCUGUUGUAUGUUGUGGAUGAUGUCUGCGGGGAAUAGCGGGGGCGGGGCACCUCCCGUGGCGAGGAUACCCUGCUGCACCCCGUAUGUCUACUGACAGCAGCGUUCCAUACGACGCCUGCCACCCAUCCCAGCUCGCGUCCUACCUCGUGGCGCUCAAAUUUCAGACAGAAAGGACAUCUGUAGCUAACAAGACACAAAGUGGGGACGACGGGCACUAGUGAGCGUCAAGUAUCACGACGCAGACCUAUGCGAGGAGUGCAGCAGGGUCUCCACAGCCUACCCACCCCCCACUACCCCCGCCGAAAACUCGUGGACUCGGAGCAUGCAGCAACAGGAGCACGAGUCACAACACGACGGCACAAGUGUAUGCAGGCGGCCUGCGCUGUAUGUGGUAUUCUUCCCGUCUAAUGUACGGUCCCAGAUGAUGACGAGGGGGGAAGCACGCAGACACCCACCGCUCAGUGCGUGGCAUCAGAGGGUCCAGCCCCACCGCACCCCCCCCUCCCCUCCACUCCCGACUCUCUGCGUGUGUGAGGGAGGAAGCCCAGCAGCCCCCCCUCCCCUUGCCCGGAUCGGCAAGAGACGCGCACGUGUGUAGGCAAUAAGAAUGACAUCAAUUCAGGAAAGAAAGCAAGUGAAAACAGGAAGCACCGCAGCAGGCACGGCCUAGCUGUUGUAAAAAGGGAGUACAGCACAGGUAGGCGCUCCCGCGCCUUGUUCUUCGGCUUCCUUAUUCUCUCACUACGGAUGAGUGCUGCCACUUCUCAGUGGCUCCUCUCACCAACUCCGCCCCUCCCCUCCGUCCACCAUUCUUCCAUGCAACGAGCCGGUGGAAGACGAGUCGCGCCAAUCCACUGCCACAUCGAGCAUCUUUGCUGCGAGUCCUGGAGCGCAACUCCUUUUCUUUUGCCGUACUUUCCUGAUGUCCUGCACAUGGAUUCGGUGUGUGCUGUGCAUUCCUGCGCGCCCUGUCCUCUGCUUCCCUUGCUACACUCCGCCGAAACAAGCAUCGUCGUUUUG
rnacentral:misc_RNA from 1 species